AAAUCUGCCUUGAUUAAUGCCUGCAUCAAGGUGAAAUCCUCACCUCUAUGUGGGCCUCUUCUUCUUCUGACCCUCACUGCUCCUUCCGCAGCUGCUUGGAAUAGUUUUGCCUGCAACUGUGCAAUUCGCUUUUGCCUCUCUGAUGCUGGAAGCAAGUCUACUUCCUUAGGCUUCUCAUCUUCCAACUCACUGAAUAUUACCUCAGGC
rnacentral:misc_RNA from 1 species